rnacentral:rRNA from 1 species
AAAGAAACUAACAAGGAUUUUCUUAGUAGCGGCGAGCGAAAAGAAAUCAGUUCAGCACUAAGUCACUUUGUCUAUAUGGCAAAUGUGAGAUGCAGUGUAUGGAACAUCAAUAUUCUAAUAUGAGAAAUUAACGAUUUAAGUCCUUCUUAAAUGAGGCCAUUUACCCAAAGAGGGUGCCAGGCCCGUAUAACGUUAAUGAUUAUUAGAUGGUGUUUCCAAAGAGUCGUGUUGCUUGAUAGUGCAGCACUAAGUGGGUGGUAAACUCCAUCUAAAACUAAAUAUAACCAUGAGACCGAUAGUAAACAAGUACCGUGAGGGAAAGUUGAAAAGAACUCUGAAUAGAGAGUUAAAUAGUACGUGAAACUGCUUAGAGGUUAAGCCCGAUGAACCUGAAUAUCCGUUAUGGAAAAUUCAUCAUUAGAAUUGUAAUAUUUAAAUAAUAUUAUAAUAAUAGUGUGCAUUUUUUCCAUAUAAGGACAUUGUAAUCUAUUAGUAUCAAUCAAUUUAUCAAAAAAUUAUGGCUUAUAGUUUAUUUAAAUUAUUAUGCUUAUGCAUUUUUAACAUAAAAUAAAUGUCAUAAAUUUGAUAAAGUGCUGAUAGAUUUAUAUGACUACAGUGCGUUAAUUUUUCGGAAUUAUAUAAUGGCAUGAUUAUCAUUGAUUUUUGUGUUUAUUAUAUGCAUUUGUAUGAUUAACAAUGCGAUAGAUUCAGGAUACCUUCGGGACCCGUCUUGAAACACGGACCAAGGAGUCUAACAUAUGUGCAAGUUAUUGGGAUAUAAACCUAAUAGCGUAAUUAACUUGACUAUAUAUUUUAAAUGGGAUUAGUUUUUUAACUAUUUAUAGUUAAUUAACACAAUCCCGGGGCG